rnacentral:misc_RNA from 1 species
AGGAUUGCUUAUGAACAGCUUUUUCAGGAGGAUCUUAUCAAGCGUCUUGAAUCGGAGAUCUCUGGCCACUUCGAGAGAGCGGUGUACCGAUGGAUGCUGGAUCCAGAGGACAGAGAUGCUGUGUUGGCCAACAUAGCCAUAAGGAAGCCCAAGGAAGAUUUUGCUGUGCUCGUUGAGCUUUCUUGCAUCUACUCUCCUGAAGAGCUAUUGGGGGUCAGGAGGGCUUACCAGCACCGGUACAAGCGCUCCUUAGAGGAAGAUGUUGCUGCCAGCACCAACGACGAUUUGCGCACGCUGUUGGUUGGAUUAGUGAGUGCAUACCGUUACAAUGGAGCGGAUGUAGAUCUAAGCCUGGCUAAAUCAGAAGCGGAGAGACUUGAGCGUGCAAUCAGAGACAAAACCUUCUAUCAUGAAGAUGUUAUCAGGAUCUUAACCACAAGGAGUAGGCCACAGCUGGUUGCAACUUUCAAUCACUACAAAG